rnacentral:misc_RNA from 1 species
UUUCCGUAGGUGAACCUGCGGAAGGAUCAUUACCGAAUUGUCAAACGAGUUGUUGCUGGUCUUCAAACGGGGCCAUGUGCACGCUCUGUUUACACAUCCACUCACACCUGUGCACCCUCCGUAGUUCUAUGGUCUGGGGGACCCUGUCUUCCUGCCGCGGUUCUACGUCUUUACACACACUCUGUAAUCAAGUCUUAUGUAAUGUAUGCUGCGCCUAACGAAAUAAAAUACAACUUUCAGCAACGGAUCUCUUGGCUCUC